AGCAGUGCAACAAAUAAAAUAUUUUGUGUCACCUAGUAUUCAUGCAAUUUUACCCACAUGUCUUUGGUUAUAUUUUUUAAACACACCAAUAAGGGGGAACAACUUGCGCAUACACAAAAUAGGUCGGUACUUCCGUUAAAACCUAUGCAAGUGAAAAACAGAUAAGUAACUAUUUAUGAACAAAAACUUAUCUCAAAUAAUCGUCGAUAUAGAUAUGACCAUCUUAUCUUUAUUGUGUACAGCGUUAUUUUAGUCGUGUAAUAAAUAAUUAAGUCAAACUUACUUUCAAACCAUAUGCACGUUGUAUUCGGAUAGUUCCAAGUCCGAAACCUUCAUUUAAUAUGUGUAUUGUUGCCACUCAUUGUUGGCACAAGGUAGCCGUACAUUACUUGUGAUAUAAGUUUGAUGAAAAUUAACAGUUUAUUUAAUUCGUGCAUAUAUUUGUUCAUUUUUUGAAAAGAAAGCAAAGUUGGUGGCAGUGUUAUUUCUUCAUGGCUCGGAUUUAUUUCCUAAUCUCCACAUUGAUUUCAAGAGUAUAAAAACGGUGGUUUUUAGAAUUAACCUUUUAAAUAUUUAUUUAAAUAAAAACAAAGAACACGAAGGUCUUAGAAACGGAGUUUUGUUCAUUUGAGUUUAAAAUUCAAGUGAAUAAAGCAUGUAUCAUACGUGAAUUGUUGGUUUCCCAACAUGAACUAUUUUGGUGCGUUCUAUUAAAUAAUGAAAGAAAUAUGAAAAUAAAGUAGUUAUGACUUAAUACUGUGUUUUUGGUCUAACCCUAUGCGUUUCUGCCUUCAGGUUCGAUCGUUUAGUCAAUGUUCGAUGACAAGAUUUCCAAAAUACAGAUCAGAGAUCUUGAAACUGAUAUAUGGAGAACAGAAAGUUCUUAUUCAGCAAUCGAGUCGUUGACACCUGGAACUCGUUACCAAACAGCGUUAUUACAGCUACAUCUAUAAAGUCAUUUGAGGAAAGACUUGAUAAAUACUGGAAAAACCAAGAAAUUGUUUACAACUUUGAAGCUAAAAUCUCGACCGGAAGAGAUAAAGAAAAAAAAAAGAGCUUGAGUCAGAGGCUGAGGGCUUUCUUCAUCUAAGUGCAAGACUCUCAGUCGUCUGUUGAUGUAGACUCUUUUUCCGAAAACCCUCCUUACUUGUCAGAUAGUGACCGUGAUAUUGAUGAUGACGUAGAAAUUGAUCAUUCUUUGGAAGAUGACCUACGAACUUUGGCAACCUCUAACAGAUUAACACAUACUGCUUUACGGGAGCUAUUGUGUUUACUUCCUUCCACCAAGUAAAAUGACAGCCAGUGUAUUUCAUGUGGUAUCGUUUGAUGGGAAGGACUCUGUGGCAAUAGUGCCACAUAUUUGGUUACAUGAAAAUGGAUGUUGGUGGCCCCCAUAUAAAGGCCUUAAAUGGCUCCAGAUAGCCGUAGAGAAAGAGGAAAUGCCUUCGGAAAAUUGGACACAGCACAGUUGCCCAGUUCUUUAUACAGGCUCCUUUAUGGAGGCAGUAAAGAGAGUAAGGAAAGCGAAGAGACGUCAGAUCUUCAGUCAUGUGAAGAAAACAUCCCAGCCAAAAGAUUGCGCGACGUAGACUAGCUGAAUCUGACAGCAGCUGUGAAGAAGAGGCACUGGAAAGGAAACUGCAGAAGCCACCAUUGGCACUGCGAACACCACCACAUGCACUGUCGACGCCUCUGCCUUCAGUCCUCACAUCACCCACACUGCCAACGCCACCGCCUGCGUUCCUCACAUCGAAACCUGAACUAUCAAGGCCGCCAUCAUCCAAGAUAGUAAGCCAGACUCAACCGCCUUCGACACCUCUUGUCUCACUGGCCGCUUCCAGUCAAGGUGCUUACCUAAGCAGGCGUCAGGAAGCACGUGACACAAGAAUUGUUACAUUGUUGGAGUCUAUGAACGACACUCUAAAAGACAACAGGCUUCUAAGACAACUUAUGGCCCGGGGCAUAGGUGGGGUAGAGGCAGCUGCGCCCACUGAGCUUCCAGAGGAAAUCAUCUUCCCUUUGAAGACUGUGGAUGACUUGGAGGCACUGGAGACAAGAUUGGAUGACGAAACAACUGCUUUCUGUUGUAAGCAUAUUUGGAAGGGAU